AUGGAUGAGCCGAUGUCCAAGCUCACCAAUGACCUAAUCGCGGAGAUCCUCUCUCGCGUGCCCUACAAAUCUCUCUGCAUAUGCAAGUGCGUCUGCCCGGCCUGGCGCGGCAUCAUCGCCGACCCCGCCAACCGGAAGAAGAUGGCGCAGACCCUGGCCGGAUUCUUCUACCGCAUCACGGCCGACUCCGCCGAGCCCCCCGGCCACGCCGUCAACUACGCCGACCUGUCCGCCUUCCCUUGGGCGAGCGUCGCCGAGGCCUACCCGCGCCUGCCGCUGCCGCCCGACAGCACAGACUCCUUCGUCUCCCUCGAGGAUUCAUGCGAUGGGUUGUUUCUCACAAGCAUCCGCACGGGCACCCCUGCUGGGACAUCUCGCUACAUGGUCUCCAAUCCAGCUACAUGUGAGUAUGUUGUGCUGCCUCACUCUGGCUACGCCGGCGACUGCUGUCGCGCUUACCUGGGUUUCGACGGUGAAGUGUCCACUCAAGAGUUUCAUCUGUUUGAAUUUGUGCUGGAACAAUCCCAAUCCCUGGCUGUGAGAGGAGUGAACAUUUAG
rnacentral:rRNA from 1 species